AUUGAACGCUGGCGGCAGGCCUAACACAUGCAAGUCGAGCGGGGUUUUCGGACCUAGCGGCGGACGGGUGAGUAAUGCGUAGGAAGCUGUCCGAUAGAGGGGGAUACCAGUUGGAAACGACUGUUAAUACCGCAUAAUGUCUACGGACCAAAGUGUGGGACCCUCGGGCCACAUGCUAUCGGAUGCGCCUACGUGGGAUUAGCUAGUUGGUGAGGUAAUGGCUCACCAAGGCGACGAUCUCUAGCUGGUUUGAGAGGAUGAUCAGCCACACUGGAACUGAGACACGGUCCAGACUCCUACGGGGGGCAGCAGUGGGGAAUAUUGGACAAUGGGCGCAAGCCUGAUCCAGCCAUGCCGCGUGUGUGAAGAAGGCCUUCGGGUUGUAAAGCACUUUCAGCGAGGAGGGAGGAAGGGUGUUGUGUUAAUAGCACAGCAUUUUGACGUUACCUACAGAAGAAGCACCGGCUAACUCUGUGCCAGCAGCCGCCGCCGUAA
rnacentral:rRNA from 1 species